rnacentral:rRNA from 1 species
GAAUUUGACCCUAGUAAACAAUGCUACCUUCGACGGAAACGUCGAAGUGCAACACUUGCUCAAAUUGGUGAAACCCUCUAUAAUAAAAUCGAUGGUCCUGUUGAUUUAGAGGGCCACACCAAGGGAAGAUUUCAAAUCAUGAACUCUCAACAAAGAUCUUAUUUAGCUGGUUUUUUAGACGCUGAUGGCAGCAUUAUGCUUCAGUUUAAAAAACGCGAAGAUGUCCGUUUUAAAUAUCGGGCUAAAGCCGUUAUUUGUUUUUAUCAAAAUGAUAAAGAUAAACCGGGUUUAGAUAAGUUAAGAGAUAUAGCCGGAAUUGGUUAUGUCUACGGCCGAAACGAUAGUAUGGCUGAGUGGCGGAUCGAAGGAUACGCCAGGGUAAAAGAUUUUUUACUCAAGCUAUUGCCAUAUUUAAGAUUUAAACAACGUCAAGCGAAAUUUUUACUGCAAGCCUUGAAAAUUCUGGAAAAGAAAGGCUAUAGCGCAAACGACUUAUUAAAAGUUUGCCUGUUGGCCAAUAAAAUUUCCGAAUUGAAUAAUGCACCUAGGCGCAGAAAAAACAACUAUGAAUCAGUUAAAAAAGAUUUGUUGAAACUUGGUUUGAUUUCCCCUUAACGACUGGAGGUCGCCUUAGGCGACUGAAGAUGGGUAGUUCUUACUAAUAAUUAGUAAAAUUUAUAACACCCAUAAUACGGCAAGCACCUAACCCUCGACGAAAGUCGGGGAACGGUGAAGGUAUAGUCUACACUGUUGGUAACAGCAGAUAAUGUGACGAGAGGACCGGGUUGAGUCAGUCCCUAGUGUGCCGGUUGUGACAUCAGUCGCAGCGCCGGGUAGCUACACUGAUUCGGGAUAACCGCUGAAAGCAUCUAAGCGGGAAGCCCAUCCUAAGAUAAGGAAUCCCUAUAAACCCCUGGUAGACUACCAGGUGAUAGGCAGCCGGUGCAAGAGCCGUAAGGCUUUAAGCCUAGCUGUACUAAUCGGUUGAUUGAAAUUAGACG